GGUGUGAAUCCCUGGGCUCAACCGAGGAAGUGCACUUGAAACUACCAAGCUAGAGGACGGCAGAGGAUGGUGGAAUUCCUAGUGUAGAGGUGAAAUUCGUAGAUAUUAGGAGGAAUACCGGCGGCGAAGGCGGCCAUCUGGGCCGUUCCUGACACUGAGACGCGAAAGCGUGGGUAGCAAACAGGAUUAGAUACCCUGGUAGUCCACGCUGUAAACGAUGGGUACUAGGUGUUGCGGGAAUUGACCCCUGCAGUGCCAAGGGCGAAUUCCACAGUGGAUA
rnacentral:rRNA from 1 species